AGCGAACGCUGGCGGCAGGCUUAACACAUGCAAGUCGAACGGGCACCUUCGGGUGUCAGUGGCAGACGGGUGAGUAACACGUGGGAACGUACCCUUCGGUUCGGAAUAACACAGGGAAACUUGUGCUAAUACCGGAUACGCCCUUGGCCUCUGGCCCUGGGGAAAGGUUUACUGCCGGAGGAUCGGCCCGCGUCUGAUUAGCUAGUUGGUGAGGUAACGGCUCACCAAGGCGACGAUCAGUAGCUGGUCUGAGAGGAUGAUCAGCCACACUGGGACUGAGACACGGCCCAGACUCCUACGGGAGGCAGCAGUGGGGAAUAUUGGACAAUGGGCGCAAGCCUGAUCCAGCCAUGCCGCGUGAGUGAUGAAGGCCUUAGGGUUGUAAAGCUCUUUUGUCCGGGACGAUAAUGACGGUACCGGAAGAAUAAGCCCCGGCUAACUUCGUGCCAGCCGCCGCCGUAACAC
rnacentral:rRNA from 1 species